GACGAACGCUGGCGGCGUGCUUAACACAUGCAAGUCGAACGGAAAGGCCCUGCUUUUGUGGGGUGCUCGAGUGGCGAACGGGUGAGUAACACGUGAGUAACCUGCCCUUGACUUUGGGAUAACUUCAGGAAACUGGGGCUAAUACCGGAUAGGAGCUCCUGCUGCAUGGUGGGGGUUGGAAAGUUUCGGCGGUUGGGGAUGGACUCGCGGCUUAUCAGCUUGUUGGUGGGGUAGUGGCUUACCAAGGCUUUGACGGGUAGCCGGCCUGAGAGGGUGACCGGCCACAUUGGGACUGAGAUACGGCCCAGACUCCUACGGGAGGCAGCAGUGGGGAAUAUUGCACAAUGGGCGGAAGCCUGAUGCAGCAACGCCGCGUGCGGGAUGACGGCCUUCGGGUUGUAAACCGCUUUCGCCUGUGACGAAGCGUGAGUGACGGUAAUGGGUAAAGAAGCACCGGCUAACUACGUGCCAGCAGCCGCGGUGAUACGUAGGGUGCGAGCGUUGUCCGGAUUUAUUGGGCGUAAAGGGCUCGUAGGUGGUUGAUCGCGUCGGAAGUGUAAUCUUGGGGCUUAACCCUGAGCGUGCUUUCGAUACGGGUUGACUUGAGGAAGGUAGGGGAGAAUGGAAUUCCUGGUGGAGCGGUGGAAUGCGCAGAUAUCAGGAGGAACACCAGUGGCGAAGGCGGUUCUCUGGGCCUUUCCUGACGCUGAGGAGCGAAAGCGUGGGGAGCGAACAGGCUUAGAUACCCUGGUAGUCCACGCUGUAAACGGUGGGUACUAGGUGUGGGGUCCAUUCCACGGGUUCCGUGCCGUAGCUAACGCUUUAAGUACCCCGCCUGGGGAGUACGGCCGCAAGGCUAAGACUCAAAGGAAUUGACGGGGCCCCGCACAAGCGGCGGAGCAUGCGGAUUAAUUCGAUGCAACGCGUAGAACCUUACCUGGGUUUGACAUGGAUCGGGAGUGCUCAGAGAUGGGUGUGCCUCUUUUGGGGUCGGUUCACAGGUGGUGCAUGCCUGUCGUCAGCUCGUGUCGUGAGAUGUUGGGUUAAGUCCCGCAACGAGCGCAACCCUUGUUCACUGUUGCCAGCACGUUAUGGUGGGGACUCAGUGGAGACCGCCGGGGUCAACUCGGAGGAAGGUGGGGAUGACGUCAAGUCCUCAUGCCCCUUAUGUCCAGGGCUUCACGCAUGCUACAAUGGCUGGUACAGAGAGUGGCGAGCCUGUGAGGGUGAGCGAAUCUCGGAAAGCCGGUCUCAGUUCGGAUUGGGGUCUGCAACUCGACCUCAUGAAGUCGGAGUCGCUAGUAAUCGCAGAUCAGCAACGCUGCGGUGAAUACGUUCCCGGGGCU
rnacentral:rRNA from 1 species